UACCAGCACCCCGAGUGGUCGGGACGUUUAUUGGGCCUAAAGCAUCCGUAGCCGGUUCUACAAGUCUUCCGUUAAAUCCAACUGCUUAACAGGUGGGCUGCGGAAGAUACUAUAGAGCUAGGAGGCGGGAGAGGCAAGCGGUACUCAGUGGGUAGGGGUAAAAUCCUUUGAUCCAUUGAAGACCACCAGUGGCGAAGGCGGCUUGCCAGAACGCGCUCGACGGUGAGGGAUGAAAGCUGGGGGAGCAAACCGG
rnacentral:rRNA from 1 species